rnacentral:rRNA from 1 species
GAGUGGCGCACGGGUGAGUAACACGUGGGUAAUCUACCUUUCGGGUCUGGGACAACUCCGGGAAACUGGAGCUAAUACCGGAUGAGACCACGAGGUCCUCGGACUUCGCGGGAAAAGAUGGCCUCUCCUUGGAAGCUAUCGCCCGUAGAUGAGCCCGCGCCCCAUUAGCUAGUUGGUGAGGUAACGGCUCACCAAGGCGACGAUGGGUAGCUGGUCUGAGAGGACGACCAGCCACACUGGAACUGAGACACGGUCCAGACUCCUACGGGAGGCAGCAGUCGGGAAUUUUGGGCAAUGGGCGAAAGCCUGACCCAGCAACGCCGCGUGAGGGAUGAAGGCCCUCGGGUCGUAAACCUCUGUCGGGAGGGAAGAACGGUUGCAAGGUGAACAAUCUUGGAACCUGACGGUACCUCCAAAGGAAGCGCCGGCUAACUCCGUGCCAGCAGCCGCGGUAAUACGGAGGGCGCAAGCGUUGUUCGGAAUCAUUGGGCGUAAAGCGCGUGUAGGCGGCUUGGCAAGUCGGGUGUGAAAUCCCGGGGCUCAACCCCGGAACUGCAUUCGAUACUGCCUCGCUAGAGUCCCGGAGAGGAGGGCGGAAUUCCCGGUGUAGAGGUGAAAUUCGUAGAUAUCGGGAGGAACACCAGUGGCGAAGGCGGCCCUCUGGACGGUGAC